rnacentral:misc_RNA from 1 species
GAUGAAGAACGUAGCGAAAUGCGAUAAGUAGUGUGAAUUGCAGAAUUCAGUGAAUCAUCGAAUCUUUGAACGCACAUUGCGCCCCUUGGUAUUCCAUGGGGCAUGCCUGUUCGAGCGUCAUUUGUACCUUCAAGCUCUGCUUGGUGUUGGGUGUUUGUCUCGCCUCUGCGUGUAGACUCGCCUCAAAACAAUUGGCAGCCGGCGUAUUGAUUUCGGAGCGCAGUACAUCUCGCGAUUUGCACUCAUAACGACGACGUCCAAAAGUACAUUUUUACACUCUUGACCUCGGAUCAGGUAGGGAUACCCGCUGAACUUAAGCAUAUCAAUAAGCGGAGGA